rnacentral:rRNA from 1 species
GAUGAACGCUGGCGGCGUGCUUAACACAUGCAAGUCGAACGGUAAGGCCCCUUCGGGGGUACACGAGUGGCGAACGGGUGAGUAACACGUGGGCAAUCUGCCCCUCACACCGGGAUAACUCGGGGAAACCCGAGCUAAUACCGGAUACUUCGUCGAGGUCGCAUGGCCAUGACGAGAAAGCUCCGACGGUGAGGGAUGAGCCCGCGGCCCAUUAGCUUGUUGGUGAGGUAACGGCUCACCAAGGCGACGAUGGGUAGCCGAGCUGAGAGGCCGAUCGGCCAGACGGGGACUGAGACACGGCCCAGACUCGUACGGGAGGCAGAAGUGGGGAAUCUUGCGCAAUGGGCGAAAGCCUGACGCAGCAACGCCGCGUGCGGGAUGAAGGCUCUCGGGUCGUAAACCGCUUUCAGCAGGGAUGAAACUGACAGUACCUGCAGAAGAAGCCCCGGCUAAAUACGUGCCAGCCGCCGCCGUAAUAC